GCGUUGUCCGGAUUUACUGGGCGUAAAGCGCGCGCAGGCGGCCCCGCAGGUCGGUCGUGAAAGCCCCCGGCUCAACCGGGCGGAGGCGAGCGAAACCGCGGGGCUGGAGGCUGGCAGAGGGUGGUGGAAUUCCCGGUGUAGUGGUGAAAUGCGUAGAGAUCGGGAGGAACACCCGCGGCGAAGGCGGCCACCUGGACCAGGCCUGACGCUGAGGCGCGAAGGCCGG
rnacentral:rRNA from 1 species